GCAAUCUUUAUCAACAGUGUUGUUUACAAUCAGAUGUCUCCUUGGCAACGGACUUGUUGCAUUACCACAGCUGUAUUUAACGUGACACUUGUUAACCACUCUCAGAGUGUAUUGAGGGUCCUAUAUAUAGAUCCAUCAGUGAUUAUUAGAGAUUGCCCCAGUGUUCAAGGCUGUAUGAUAAACUUCCAUUGUGCACACAUCAAACAAACAUUGAAUGAACCUUUCUGUAGACAUGAGUAAAGUUUGGUAAACACCAGAUGUUGAUGAAGAGAUUAUCAAGCAGUAAUCAACUAAUCAUAGCUUUAUGUUCUUUAAUAAUAUUAAUAAUAUAAAAAAUGUUGCAGAUUAAUAGUGAACAUUAAUUUUUCCAUUCAUAUUGUGUUGUAAACAUGAUUGUAGAAAGUACCCAUCCAGAACCUGUAGGCUGACCUUGACCUGAUUACUGUACUAAUCCUGUGAACUGUCUGAUAAAAUAAAGGAUAUAAUGUAAUCUGAGAAGUGGUAUGAUAAAAUAUAGGAUAUAAUGUAAUCUGAGAAAUGGUAUGAUAAAAUAUAGGAUAUAAUGUAAUCUGAGAAUGGUAUGAUAAAAUAUAGGAUAUAAUGUAAUCUGAGAAGUGGUAUGAUAAAAUAUAGGAUAUAAUGUAAUCUGAGAAGUUAUAUGAUAAAAUAUAGGAUAUAAUGUAAUCUGAGAAGUGGUAUGAUAAAAUAUAGGAUAUAAUGUAAUCUGAGAAGUGGUAUGAUAAGAUAUAUAAUGUAAUCUGAGAAGUGCUCGUUGUGAGAAAGUGUGUGUAAGUGAGGUCUGCGUGUUAUUGAAUCGAAUGUUAUAUUUUGUUAAUAAAAUAAUUUAUGGUAAUCUU
rnacentral:misc_RNA from 1 species